rnacentral:rRNA from 1 species
AUUGAACGCUGGCGGCAUGCCUUACACAUGCAAGUCGAACGGUAACAGGUCUUCGGAUGCUGACGAGUGGCGAACGGGUGAGUAAUACAUCGGAACGUGCCUAGUAGUGGGGGAUAACUACUCGAAAGAGUGGCUAAUACCGCAUGAGAUCUACGGAUGAAAGCAGGGGAUCGCAAGACCUUGUGCUACUAGAGCGGCCGAUGGCAGAUUAGGUAGUUGGUGGGAUAAAAGCUUACCAAGCCGACGAGCUGUAGCUGGUCUGAGAGGACGAUCAGCCACACUGGGACUGAGACAGGGCCCAGACUCCUACGGGAGGACGCAGUGGGGAAUUUUGGACAAUGGGCGAAAGCCUGAUCCAGCAAUGCCGCGUGCAGGAUGAAGGCCUUCGGGUUGUAAACUGCUUUUGUACGGAACGAAAAGCCCCGGGUUAAUACCCUGGGGUCCUGACGGUACCGUAAGAAUAAGCACCGGCUAACUACGUGCCAGCAGCCGCAGUAA